rnacentral:rRNA from 1 species
UACGUAGGGGGCUAGCGUUGUCCGGAAUCAUUGGGCGUAAAGAGCGUGUAAGCAAUCCGGUAAGUCCGCUGUGAAAGUCGGAGGCUCAACCCUCGAAUGCCGGUGGAUACUGUCGGGCUAAAGUGCGGAAGAAGCGAGUGGAAUUCUUGGUGUAGCGGUGAAAUGCGCAGAUAUCAGGAGGAACACCUAUUGCAAAGGCAGCUCGCUGGAACGUAACUGACGCUGAGACGCGAAAGCGUGGGGAGCAAACAGG